rnacentral:rRNA from 1 species
CGCUAGUAAUCGCAGAUCAGCACGCUGCGGUGAAUACGUUCCCGGGCCUUGUACACACCGCCCGUCACACCACGGGAGUGGUCAUAACCAGAAGCAGAUGAGCUAACCUUCGGGAGGGGGAUAACCACGGGAAACUGUGGCUAAUACCGCGUAAUCUCGCAAGAGCAAAGGUGGCCUCUUCUUGAAAGCUACCGCCUGAAGAUCGGCCUAUGUCCCAUUAGCUAGUUGGUGAGGUAAAGGCUCACCAAGGCGACGAUGGGUAGCUGGUCUGAGAGGAUGAUCAGCCACACUGGGACUGAGACACGGCCCAGACUCCUACGGGAGGCAGCAGUAGGGAAUUUUGCACAAUGGGCGCAAGCCUGAUGCAGCAACGCCGCGUGAGUGAAGAAGGCUCUUGGGUUGUAAAGCUCUUUCGACAGGGAAGAAGGGAUUCAAGGUAAACAAUCUUGAGUUUUGACGGUACCUGAAUGAGAAGCACCGGCUAAUUCCGUGCCAGCAGCCGCGUUAAUACGGAAGGUGCAAGCGUUGUUCGGAAUCACUGGGCGUAAAGAGCACGUAGGCGGGUUCGUAAGUCGAUUGUGAAAGCCCAGGGCUUAACCCUGGAACUGCAGUCGAAACUGCGAGCCUUGAAUGCCCGAGAGGGUGGGGGAAUUCCUGGUGUAGAUGUGAAAUUCGUAGAUAUCAGGAGGAACACCUGAGGCGAAGGCGCCUGCCUGGCGGUGCAUUGACGCUGAGGUGCGAAAGCGUGGGUAGCAAACAGGAUUAGAUACCCUGGUAGUCCACGCCGUAAACGAUGGAUACUAGGUGUUCGGAGUGUUAACCCUCUGAGUACCGGAGCUAACGCAUUAAGUAUCCCGCCUGGGGAGUACGGUCGCAAGGCUAAAACUCAGAGGAAUUGACGGGGGCCCGCACAAGCGGUGGAGUAUGUGGUUCAAUUCGAAGCAACGCGAAGAACCUUACCUGGGUUUAACAUCCCACGACAACCCUAGAAAUAGGGCCUUCUCUUCGGAGACGUGGUGAUAGGUGCUGCAUGGCUGUCGUCAGCUCGUGUCGUAAGAUGUUGGGUUAAGUCCCGCAACGAGCGCAACCCUUGCCCUUAGUUGCUACCAUUAAGUUGGGCACUUUGAGGGGACUGCCGGUGUAAAACCGGAGGAAGGCGGGGACGACGUCAAGUCCUCAUGGCCCUUACGUCCAGGGCUACACACGUACUACAAUGGCAGAG